GAAAUCAGGGUAAGCAAUGUCUACUGCACCCUAAACUAUUAUUUUAGUUACAGAAUCAAAAAAAUCAAUAAGAUUAGUUUGGCAUGAUCUCCCUGAAGUAAACCCAUGUUGUCUCUGAUAUUGAAAUCCAUGUAUUUUUAGAUGGUCAACAAUCCUAUCCUUUAACAUGGUUUCCAUUACUUUCCCCACUACUGAAGUAAGGCUUACUGGCCUAUAGUUGCCCG